rnacentral:rRNA from 1 species
UACGUAGGGUGCGAGCGUUGUCCGGAAUUAUUGGGCGUAAAGAGCUUGUAGGCGGUGUGUCGCGUCGGCCGUGAAAACCUGCAGCUUAACUGUGGGCUUGCGGUCGAUACGGGCAUCACUGGAGUUCGGCAGGGGAGACUGGAAUUCCUGGUGUAGCGGUGAAAUGCGCAGAUAUCAGGAGGAACACCGGUGGCGAAGGCGGGUCUCUGGGCCGAUACUGACGCUGAGGAGCGAAAGCGUGGGGAGCGAACAGG